rnacentral:lncRNA from 1 species
GUAAACAACAGUAACAACAAUGACAACAAAGCCUAUGGUUAUGUCUAUAAUCUUUUGGUGCAAAACCUUCUUGUCUUGUCUUUUUCUGCUUAUCACCACCCUCUUUCUUAUUUUCACCAAUCUGGAGAUGCAUAUACAAAAACAUUUUAAAAUCCACUUUUUGGCCAGGUGCAAUGGCUCAUGCCUGUAAUCCCAACACUUUGAGAGGCCGAGGCGGGAGGAAUGCUUGAGCCCAGGAGUUCAAGACCAGUCUGGGCAACAUAGGGAAACCCUGUCUCUGCAAAAAUAAAAAAAUUAGCUGGGCAUGGUGGCACAUGCUUGUGGUCUGAGCUACUGACCACUGAGCUACUGAAGUGGGAGGAUUGCUUGGACCUAGGAGGUUGAGGCUGCAGUGAGCUGAGAUCAUGCCAUUGCACUCCAGCCUGGGUAACAGAGCAAGACCCUGUCACACUCACACACACACACACACACACACACUCCACUUCGUUUCUAAUCAUGGUGUAUAGAUGCAAGCAAUAUUGUUGGUUCUAUGACAAUACUUUUAAAACUACAAAAACAAAUUUGAAAGUGAUGUGAUGUGAAAAAGAAUGAAAUCAUGUCAUAGCCACAUGGAUGCAGCUGGUGGCUAUUAUCCUAAGUGAAAUAACUCACAAACAAAAUCCGAUACUGCAUGUUCUCAAUUAUAAGUGGAAGCUAAUCAAUGGGUACAUAUGCACAUAAAGAUGGAAAUAUUAGAUACUGGAGACUCCAAAAGGGAGGAGGAUGGAAGGAGGCCAGGGUUGAAAAACUACCUGUUGGAAGUUUUGGGGUACUAUGUUCACUAUUUGGGUGAUGAGUUCACUUGAAGCCCAAACAUCAGCAUUAUGCAAUAUACUCACGUAACAAACCUGCACAUGUACCCCAUGUAUUUAUAAUAAUAAAAAGUAAAUUAAAAUAUUUCUAUAUAAAAAUAAUUUAAAAAGAAAGUGAUGUGGUGGAAAGGGAUAGGAUUCCUUAUAAGCUAAUUAUAUAUAAAAUACUCUCCUGCUCUUUUUUAUUUAUAAUUCAAUCAUUCCCUAAUUAAUUUAUUCAUCUAAUCAUGAAACUUGUUUAGUCACCUACUUGGGGGCAGGUACUGAGGACGUGAUGACAAAUAAGGAAAUCUUUACCCUUUAGAACUCAUCAUGUAAUGAUCCAUACUGGUCACUUUGAGAUUCUGGUACUUCUAAAAAUAACUUAUUAUUUUUACUUCUUAUUAUAAAAAUCAUACAUGGGACAUUUAGAAGAUAUAGGAGAGCAAAGGUAAGAGAAUUCACUGUGAAUUAAUUAUUCAUUGAACACCUAUUUUGUGCCAUUGACUAUCCUUAUUGCUGGGAGCACAGCGUUUAAAAAAAAACCAAAAACCUUUCUCCCACUCUAAUAGAUGAGUCACAUAAUGGGAAAACAAACAAAUGUAUCAUCUAUUAAAGUGGGAGAACUUGGUUUUGUAGUUUUAAAAGUAUUGUCAUAGAACCAACGAUACUGCUUGCAUCUAUACACCAUGAUUAGAGAGGAAGUGGAUGGAGAGUGUGUGUGUCUGAGAGAGAGAAUAUUUAGAAUGCCAAAAGCGGGCACUUCAAGGAAGGCUUUUUUUAUUUAAAAAAAAUUAGCUCAUUCUACAUACUUUAGAAAUUACCUUUGAGUAGCAAAUGUUAAGGAUAUAAAUACUUUGCACGUAUAUUCCUUGUUUAUAGUUAACCAUAUGUUAUUUUUUACCUGCAAAAUACUAAAACAUAUUCUACCUACGUGCAAUCUAAGUUUUGUAGCAGAGUCUUUUUACGGGGGCCAAACAAUUCUGGACUAAUUUUUAAAACCCUGAAAUGGCUCACUGUUUUGAGGUUAUUUUGAUGGAGUAUGAAUUUACUUCUUUGUCAUUUGGAGAAGGUGCACAGUAUUAUUAUGAACAGAGAAGAGCUGUAUGAAAACUGAUCUUCCAGCAUCUAUCAUCUCCUUUUAGUCUAAUGAGAUACUGCCAUUAUCUCCUGAUGAAAUAUUGUUCUAGAAAACCUUACCCCAUCAUACGAUUUCUGCAGAUCUUACAGGAGCAAUCUGAGCUCAAGCAAUAUUAAUUACUGUUUCAUUUGUCCAUUUGUCUGUGUAUAAUCAUGUAUUUUAAUGAUCUUCUAUUUUCUAUGGUUUGUGUAGAUUUGGAGACUAAUUCAAAAGAGUUGAAGUUUUUUGGACAUGUUUAGUUGAAUGUGCAGUUCUCUUUUGAAGAAUCCUGUCUCCAAAUCCUGUUUUGAAAAGAGUGUUGAUGAGUAGCACAGCACCUGUCAUAUUGUGAGUGUGCAAUAAAAUCAUGCCUUUUCAGCAGACCUUAACUAAAGAGUUAAUUUUAUUUAUUUAAAUCCACCUUUCAGAUGACUCUCAUUCUGCUUUGUCAGUGGUUGACGAGGGUAAAGGCACUUGAGGAUGCACAACACACAGGACAGGGAGCAAGCCUUUCUCAGUGCGGAGAGCUAGGAUAAACUUUUGCUUAGAAAGGGGUACAUUAAUGACAAAGGAUCACAGCAUUAUGGGAGGAUACUACACACCUGUUCUUCAGGGAGUACUCUGGACAUCCCUGUUCUUUCCCCACAUGGCAGGUGUCUUUUCAGGUGCUCCCAACCACACUACCCUGAAUUCCCAUAUCCGGGUUGCCCUCUAUGCCAGCCUCUCCUCUUAGCCUUGAAUUUAGCUUUGUUGCUUAAGGCAAGUCACUUCCCUCUCCGGGUAUGUUUCUUCUUCUGAAAAUGGAUGCAGUUGAACUAGAUGAGAGCCAGGUGGCUUCAAUUGAUGUGCGGUGGCCCUCUGCCCUGCUUACUUUCAUCUCCACCACUCCAAGGUGGCUCACAAACACGAAUCCUCAGCCCCUUGGAUUGGGUUCAGGGGAGUGCUAUCAGGAACCCAUGGGAGAGACAGGAAUGUUUUCAGAAACCUCAGCCUGUCCUCUUUUUACUGAAAUAGGGGCCCUUGUUGAUGGUAGUCACUGCCCAUGCUGUUUAGCCUAAGGAAGGUGACAGUGGGUGGGCCACCUCAGGCCAUAUGGAGGAAGGCCUGGCACAGAAACACAAGGCCAGGCAGGCUGUGGCUAGCCUGAAUUUAGCUGUAGCCUCAGAAUCAGGGGACUUGGGCUUGACAGCUGACAUUACAUGGUGCACAACUCUGGUUAAGUCACUUAACUUAAAUCUUAUCCCCUCAUCUGUAGAUGGCUUGAAGACCAAAUUAAGGAGCUCCUUCAACAAAUACAUU